rnacentral:rRNA from 1 species
UACGGGGGGGGCAAGCGUUGUUCGGAAUUAUUGGGCGUAAAGAGCUCGUAGGCGGUGUGUCGCGUCGGCCGUGAAAACCUGCAGCUUAACUGUGGGCUUGCGGUCGAUACGGGCAUCACUGGAGUUCGGCAGGGGAGACUGGAAUUCCUGGUGUAGCGGUGAAAUGCGCAGAUAUCAGGAGGAACACCGGGGGCGAAGGCGGGUCUGUGGGCCGAUACUGACGCUGAGGAGCGAAAGCGUGGGGAGCGAACAGG